GGGACAACGGGAUCAAGAAGUGGGACCUGCAGCAGCAGGAGCUCCUCCAGCAAAUCCCCAACGCGCACAAGGACUGGGUCUGUGCCCUGGCCUUCGUCCCCGGCCGCCCCAUGCUGCUGAGCGCCUGCCGCGGGGUCGUGGUGAAGGUCUGGAACAUGGAGAACUUCUCGCCCGUUGGGGAGAUCAAGGGCCACGACAGCCCCAUCAAUGCCAUCUGCACCAAUUCCAAGCACAUAUUCACUGCUUCCAGCGACCUGACAGUGAAGCUCUGGAGCUGGAGAAGAUUGCUGAACGGCCCGACCUAGGCACUGGAAAGGCCGGAGCCAGGGGG